GGGCGAAUGUGUCUGGCUCUGCUGACCAAGCACACCAGGACUUCCUGAGGGCUGCUGGCUGGCAAAAGCUUCCUUUUCCUUUCUUCGGUGGGGAUUUCAACAGAGGGGCACUGAAACCUGCAAACCUCCUUUGGUGGGAUGUUAUGCUGUGCUGUCAUUUUGAGGAUGCCUGUUUUGAUGAGGAGCCUGAGAGCUGGAGGGCACUGCUGGAGGAAAAAGCCAAAUCCUCUACUCUCAACACAAACAGCUUGAAGUGCUACCAGCUCUUUCAGUGUGAUUCAGAUUCACUGCCCAACUGGAGUGGAGAGGAAGAAACAAUUCCACCUAAAAAUCAAACAAGCACUGAGAGACAUUUGGUGGUUCACAUUAAUGGGAGAAAAGCUGAUGUUCCCACUUCCAUGUGUAUCAGUGGGGCUGGUUUGAAGGGCUGGCCUCAGUUCUGUUCCCUGUCCCCAGUGCUCAGGGGGAAAAUAAGGAUUAAGUGAUAUUUUUGGUUAAGACAUACAAGAGCCACCUGGUCCCUGCCUGAUCACCAGCGUAAGUCGGAACAGCCAGUUCAUAUCCAAUUUCCUCUGGUCCCUCUGGAGCUCUGGAAAGCAAGGAAAAAUCCUAGAGCUCUGCACUUCAUCUCUUUCCUUCAGCACUCCCAUUCCUUGGUACAAAUGCAGUCACCUGCAUGGAGGACUGAAAUACAUUUGAAGAUAAAAAUCCAUUUUGUCCAUCUUGUACCUGAUAAGUUUCUGCACAGAAAACUGUUUCAUCUGGCCCUUUUUUUGCCCUCUAUUUUUACAGUCAGUGCCAUAAACAAGCUGUACAUAAACAUCCCUAGGAGUUGUGAGCAGGUAAGGGCUGUGCUCAAUAAUAGCACAAAGCUCCCAGUUCUUCCUGCCUGUGUGGUACAGGGCUGGGACAUUUUGUGUGUGGAGAUGAACCCCACAUGCCUGUUGAUAUAAACCAGAUGGGCUCAUUCCAUCCCAGUGCAUCUUAAAUACAGAGAAUGGUGGUGGUGGUAAUAUGUGGGCUGGCUACUUUCAGUUUAGGUCAAGGUUUAAUUUCACUUUCCAGUUUUACUUUUGAGAAACAGGGUAGUUGUUCCUAGCUGGAAAACUUUGACCAACUUAUCUGAACAUAAAGAUGAGCUUUACCAAAAAUGAGGAAUUGGAACCCAGCUGCAGUUAGGAGAAUCUUAAACACUGACUUCUGAUUCCUGAAUGCAUCUCAUUUGUUUGUUUUUUUUUAUUUGAGGUUUUGUUUUGGUUUUCCUCUUGUCACGAACGGCCCAUGGAGACAGUGACUGUAAAUGGGCAUCUCCAGGUGGUCAUUGCAUUUGUUAUACUUUGAGCUACUGGUUUUGGUCCUCUUUACUGUCAGACACAAAACUUUUUGGGUGUUGUAAUUUCCUGCAAAACCUUCAGGAAUGAGCAGGCCUUUCAGAGACACUUGAACACAUAACUGGAAAGGAUCACCUACUUACCUGAGAAUGCCUGCAGAGUAUAUUGCAGAUUUUUUUUUUGUGAAAUAUUUUGGGUUAGCUAAAAGAGAAAAGUAAGUAGUUUCUCUUUAAUAUACUUCAAAUAUAUCCUCAAAUAUAUCCUUUUUUAUUUAUGAUGAUCAUUGCUGUCUGCACUAAUAAGUUUUUGCUUUUAUCUUUGAUUGCAAUUCAUGGGGUGAGGUUUAUUUUCAAUUUUAUGAAACUUGCAUAAUUGCAAAUUUUGUAAUUUUUUCAAAUUGAGACAGAAGCAUGUUAAUUCCCUUUAAUUCACAGACAACAUGAUUUGUGGAAGGGAUGAUGAAUUUACUGAGAUUUACUUCAGGUGUGCUACGCUUACUUCAUGAAAUCUUCACUUGCCAUUUCAGAUGUUCAUCUAAACUAAAUCUCCACCUUUUACAUCGGUGGGGGGAAAUCCCCUUUGCCCAUCAACUGAAAUAAAAUAAAAAAAGUUAUGUCUGUGUUUACAGAACUUCACAAGUCUGCAAAAGACAGGACUUGGUUAAUUUGUACCACAGCUAUUUCUGGGGAUCACUCUGUGCUCAGUUUCUCCCGGCAGCAUUUCUGCCAAUAAAUAAAUAAAUAGAUAAAUAUAUA